rnacentral:lncRNA from 1 species
AAGAAAAGAGGUUUAUUGGCUCAUGGUUCUACAGGCUGUACAGGAAGUGUAGUGGCUUCCAUUUCUGGAGAGGCCUCAGGAAACUAUGAAUCAUGGCUAAAGGCAAAGGGGAAGCAAGCACAUCUUACAUGGCUGGAGAAGGAGCAAGAGCAAGAGAACGAGACAGUGAGAGAGACAGAGAGAGAGAGAGAGAGGAGGUGCUACAUUUUCUUUUUGAGACAGGUCUCUGUCACCCAGGCUGGUGUGCAGUGACACAGUCUUGGCUCACUGCAGCCUCCACUUCCCGGGCUCAGGCAAUUCUCCAACCUCAGCCUCCUGAGUAGCUGGGACUACAGGAGUGAGCCACUAUGCCCAGUUAAUUUUUGUAGUUUUUGUAGGGAUGAGGUUUCACCAUAUUGCCUAGGCUGGUCUUGAACUCCUGAGCUCAAAGCAAUCCGCCCGCCUCAGCCUCCCAAAGUGUAUACACACUUUUAAACAACCGGAUCUCACAAUAACUCACUAUCAAGAGAACAGCACCAAGGGAAUGGUGCUAAACCAUUCAUGAAGGACCGCCUCCAUUAUAUGAUCUAAUCACCGACUACCAGGCCCAUGACCAACACUGAAGAUUACAAUUUGACAUGAGAUUUGGUGGGGACACAGAUCCAAACUAUAUCACACUGUGACUGGUAUUGUUUUAAAAAAAUUAUCAGGACCAUUUUGAAAUUUGGGUAAGGCUGCCCGAAGAAAAAUUUGCAAAUCCGUUUUAGAGGAUACAAACAUCAUGAUUUUAUAUUACAAAUGUGAACAAAAGUUCCCUGGAAGAAAGAGACUUUAUUCCAGUGAAUAGUUUGCAAACUAGGGAGUCCAACACAGCCUUCAAUGUAAAAGGAAGGUGCGGUCCAAAGAACAAAGGAAGGGUUCUAGCUUUAUAGCAAAAGUUCCUGCCCUGGUUCCCAAUCAGGUGCACUGAUACAAAUGAGAUGGAAACACAGUUCUGAUUGGUUGAUACAACUGAGCAGCAAGGGAGGUGGGCUCUGAUUGGCUGGUUCAGGUGAGCUCUGAAAGUUCCAAAGUUAAAGAGGUGUGGGUUUUCAGGGAACUCAAAAUAGGUGUGUGGCCUCUAGUCACCAAAUGGCUUCUUGGCUCUGCUUUAAAUUUAGGCCCACUCAGCCACUUAAGAUCCAUCUUGAAGGACUGGCUCUUUCAGGGUCACAUUUGUUCAUGCAAACUAUUGAUAUUGCAUGCUAUUUACCACUAUUUCAGAUGAAAUUGCCACAGGAUAUAAAUCAUUGGACUAUUUAAGAGAGCAAAGGCUUUUGGAAGCUGCCACAGUUUCAUUCCCAGGUCCUCCACUUACCAGCAAUGAGACUUCAUGUGACCUCAGCAUCUAACCAGAGUACGCUGGUCGUAACUGGAAAACCAACAGAGGCCAGGUGCGGUGGCUCAUACCUGCAAUCCCAGCACUUUGGGAGGCCGAGGCGGGUGGAUCACGUGAGGUCACGAGUUCGAGACCAGCCUGACCAACAUGGUAAAACCUCAUCUCUACUAAAGAAAAUACAACAUGGGGCAUGUGCCUCUGUAAUCCCAGCCACCUGGGAGGCUGAGGCAGGAAAAUCUCAUCAACCCGGGAGGCGGAGGUUACAGUGAGCUGAGAUCGUGCCACUGCUCUCCAGGCUGGAUGAGUGAGACUCUGUCUCAAAAAAAAAAAAAAAAAAAGGUAGAUGAGUUUUAAAGGCACAGUGCUUUUGGCCUUCUUCAGUCCAACAGCACAAGGCACACAAAGUAUCAAUGCCAUAUGAAGUCCUACUAUUAGACCUCAGGCCUCUAAUAGCACCGCUACUGUUUGUCACUGUAACAAUCCUAAAGUACAACCUGACUCCUGAGCUGCUCCUGAUGUAGUAAAGGUUCCACCCUGUGUAGUCCUGCAUGGUGACAGAUACACCAUAACAGAGUCCUUAUUAAAAAGGCCCACAAGUGCCACAGGCCUGAGCGUAUCUAUCAG